GUUUAUAUAGUUUAAUUAAAAUACCAGAUUGUGAUUCUGACAAUAAGAAUUAAAGUUUCUUUAUAAACC
rnacentral:tRNA from 1 species